rnacentral:rRNA from 1 species
GGGGAAUUUUGCGCAAUGGGCGAAAGCCUGACGCAGCAACGCCGCGUGUGUGAUGAAGGUCUUUGGAUUGUAAAGCACUUUCGACCGGGAAGAAAACCCGUUGGCUAACAUCCAACGGCUUGACGGUACCGGGAGAAGAAGCACCGGCUAACUCUGUGCCAGCAGCCGCGGUAAUACAGAGGGUGCAAGCGUUGUUCGGAAUUAUUGGGCGUAAAGCGCGUGUAGGCGGCGUGACAAGUCGGGUGUGAAAGCCCUCAGCUCAACUGAGGAAGUGCGCCCGAAACUGUUGUGCUUGAGUGCCGGAGAGGGUGGCGGAAUUCCCCAAGUAGAGGUGAAAUUCGUAGAUAUGGGGAGGAACACCGGUGGCGAAGGCGGCCACCUGGACGGUAACUGACGCUGAGACGCGAAAGCGUGGGGAGCAAAC